rnacentral:misc_RNA from 1 species
UGUUGUUGAAGUGCUAGAAAAUGGGUCCAUCCAAAGUCGAGAGCAUGCAGUUGGGGCAUUACUGACCAUGUGUCAGAGUGAUAGAAGUAAAUAUAGAGAACCUAUUCUCAGAGAAGGUGUGAUCCCUGGACUUCUCGAGCUGACUGUUCAAGGAACACCCAAGUCACAGAUAAAGGCACAAACCCUGUUGCAGUUAUUGAGGGAUACUCCAUACCCAAGAUCUGAGCUUCAGCCUGACACACUAGAGAAUAUUGUGUGCAACAUUAUCUCCCAGAUAGAUGGAGAUGAUCAAUGUAAUAAAGCGAAGAAAAUGCUGGCUGAGAUGGUGCAAGUUAGCAUGGAACAGAGCUUGAGACAUUUACAGCAAAGGGCUAUGGUAUGCACACCCAGUGAUCUGGCCAUUAGUAGUUGUACUUCUGAAGUUUCUCUAAAAUGAUUGUUUUGGCUGUCAAAUUUUUCCCUUUUUAUCUUUUUUCUUUCCUUUUCUUUUCUCAUGUGCGUUUGUGAGAUAAGGUUUUCCUUUGUAAAAAAGCAUAAAAAAGAAAAAAGAAAAAAA